ensembl:snRNA U6 U6 spliceosomal RNA
GUGCUGCCUUCAGUAGCACAUAUACUAAAACUGGAACGAUACAGAGAAGAUUAGCAUGACCCCUGCACAAGGACAAUAAAUACAAAUUUAUCAUAUAACUAAUGAUU